GGGAACUCUCUCUUGAAGCAGAGCAGGAUCCAGCGGUGGCAGAAAAGCAGCUGCAGGCCGUCCUCUCCGAGUCGGGUCAGGUGCUGGUGGAAGCGCAGCAGCAUGAGGCGCAGCAGCUCCCGCAGCCUCCAGGCCUCCCUCUCCUGCGAGGUGGAGUCGUAGCUGUAGUAGUGCAGCAGGAAGGGCCACACCUCGCCUCGGAUGGAUGGGUCGAUGCCGCCAAAGAAGAUGGCCUGUCAAAGAAGGGGCAGUUACUCACUACUUGGUGUGUGGAAGAAUCCAGUCCAGUAUGAAUGCUCUGCGAGGCACUACAAUGUUAAUUUUUUAAGUACAUCAGUAAGUCAUCAGAACAAAAUAAGUACAUUUCAAUAACUGCAAGUGAAAAAAAAAAAAAACAACUGUUUUACACUUUGUAUUUUUUUGUAGAAAUAAUUCCAAAUAGCAUGUAGAGUAAGACUGAUGAUGGAAAGAACAAAUCUGCAGCUCAGGA